UACGUAGGGCGCAAGCGUUGUCCGGAAUUAUUGGGCGUAAAGAGCUCGUAGGCGGUCUGUCACGUCUGCCGUGAAAACCCGAGGCUUAACCUCGUGGCCUGCGGUGGAUACGGGCAGACUAGAGGUAGGUAGGGGAGAACGGAAUUCCCGGUGUAGCGGUGAAAUGCGCAGAUAUCGGGAGGAACACCGGUGGCGAAGGCGGUUCUCUGGGCCUUACCUGACGCUGAGGAGCGAAAGCAUGGGGAGCGAACAGG
rnacentral:rRNA from 1 species